UCCUGUAGUAGAUCAUUUAUAUGUUUUAAAACCAUAUAAUACAUUACAAAUUUUGGUCUUUUUUCACUGUUUACAAUGAAAAGGAAGCUGAUCUUCCAAGUCAGUUUCGGGAGAAAGGUUUGGACUUCAGCAUUUGGAGCCCAGUUGUCCUCCUGUCCCUCUAGACUGGAAUAAGUCUAGGUCACAGAAUAUCCCAGACCCUCACCACUCUGAGCAAACCCCUCCCUGUGUGAAAGCCAGUGACCUACCUGAGGAGGUGAAGAUAGAGCUCUUAGCUCAGGGUCACAUUGCUCGUGCAUGUGCUCUCAGCACACAGAUGACAGUCCAACCCUGCCCAAAGAAAGAUGUUCCAGUGGUACCAGCACUGCCUUUUGCACCCUAUCCGCAUGCUGCUCGCACAAGUCCUGUCAAGGCUGGUGGUCUGCUGUAUGUCCUGGACCAUUCUAGGUGGACACGUCAAAUGAGAGAUGCUAUUGACCAACUCAUGGCAAAGCAUCAUGGGCAAAAAGACUUUCUAACCAAAGUUGAUGCAGAGUAUGCUGUUGUUGUUCAGGCUGCAUCCAGGGAUCCAAUCAGCCUCCUACCACUAAACAGCAUAUAUCUUGCUAUGCUAUG